UUGCUGGGAGAAAGUGAGGGAACACUGUACUGAAAAUGGGUCAUGUGCCAGUUUUCUGCAAUGGAAUUGGAUUUUGGAAAAAGGUCAGGGAUUUUUUUUGUCCUCGUGAGAGGGGAGCUGGGAGACACCAAGUUCUGUCCAAUCAGUCAUAUAGACAAAAAAUAGUGUGACAUGAAAUUUAGCUAGUAGACCGACUUAGUUAGUAAGCCAUGGGUCAUCCGCUCUGACUGGAGGUCCAUUGCAAGUCUUUCGAGCCA
rnacentral:lncRNA from 1 species